rnacentral:lncRNA from 1 species
CAUCUUAAUAAUUGCUUAUGAGUUUUGGGGUUAGUUUUGACUGCUUUUUUUAGAGGUGAGUUGGUUUGAUUAUUAUUAUGUUUUAUUUUAGGGUUUUUUUUUUUUUAGGUUUUUUUUUUUUUUUACAUUAUUAUUUUGAAACUUACUUACUUUCUUUUUCUUUUUUUUUCUUUCCCGUAUUUUCUUGGAUCAGAAGGCUCACCAAGAUGCCAAACCGUGGCUGGCUACAGCUUCAGCACAUCUCGUAACAAUGCAGGCCAUGACAUGCCAGUGUGAUGGAGCGUGGUGAUGUGCUGACUGGGAUCUGCAACCUGUGCCCUGCGUCCACAUGGGGUAUGAGGAAUGUCAAGCAGUGCCCACUGUGCACCCAGAUGUAUUCAUGCUCUCAGCCAGCAGCCCUUCAAGGGCAGCCUGUGCCAUGUUCAGCAGAGGGUUUAGCUGCCUGCCCUGGUCCCAGGACAACAGCCUUCAAAUGGGAACUUACCUUAAUGAAAUUCUGCACAGUAACUGGAUGAACAGACUGGAUCAGAACUCAUUGCUGUGCUGGUGGUGCACAACGGCAGUGGCUCUUCAUGUGGCCCAGCAGCCACAUGCUACCCCACCAAAAUGCAAAUACCAUCUCAAAAACAGCUCUGGACUGCCCACAGGUGACCAGUGUCCCAUCUUGCCAGGGAGGUCAACAGAAGUUUAGCUGCUGACAUCAUGAACAGGAUUGCAACCCGUAUCUGUGAUUAGUGAUGAAAUGAAACCCACAGCUUGAAAUCAUUUAUCCAUCAUAUCCGAUCAAACACAAACAUCCUCUGCACUUGAAAAUAAAUGAGGGUUGGAGCCAGCUCGCCUCUGCA